CGGACGGGUGAGUAACACGUGGGUAACUACCCAUCAGAGGGGGAGUAACACUGGAAACAGGUGCUAAUACCGCAUAACGUCGCAAGACCAAAGAGGGGGACCUUAGGGCCUCUUGCCAUCGGAUGUGCCCAGAUGGGAUUAGCUAGUAGGUGGGGUAAUGGCUCACCUAGGCGACGAUCCCUAGCUGGUCUGAGAGGAUGACCAGCCACACUGGAACUGAGACACGGUCCAG
rnacentral:rRNA from 1 species